ACGAGAGACCACAGGGGAUUGCCUCAGUAACGGCGAGUGAAGCGGCAAGAGCUCAGAUUUGAAAGCUAGCAUCUUUGAUGUUCGCAUUGUAAUCUGUAGAGGAGUGUUCGAGCAUAGCUUUGACCCAAGUUCUUUGGAACAAGAUGUCAUGGAGGGUGAGAAUCCCGUUCAUGGUUGUUGUCUUAUGCUUAUGUGAAUCUCCUUCAAUGAGUCGAGUUGUUUGGGAAUGCAGCUCUAAAUGGGUGGUAUAUUUCAUCUAAAGCUAAAUAUCAGCAGGAGACCGAUAGUGCACAAGUAGAGUGAUCGAAAGAUGAAAAGAACUUUGGAAAGAGAGUCAAACAGUACGUGAAAUUGUUGAAAGGGAAGCACUUGCACCCAGACUUGCUUUCAGUUGAUCAACUAUCAUUUUUGAUUGUGCACUUAAUUGUAAGCAGGCCAGUAUCAGUUAGAGUGGUGGGGCAAAGGUGUUGAGAAUGUAGCUCUUUCGGGAGUGUUAUAACUCUUCAUGUCAUAUCAUCUGCUCUGACUGAGGUUCGCACUUUGGUGAGGAUGCUGGCUUAAUGGGUGCAAGUGACCCGUCUUGAAACACGGACCAAGGAGUCUAACAGUUGUGCAAGUGUUUGGGUAUAAAACCCUUAUGCGUAAUGAAAGUAAAUGGAGGUGAGAACCGCAAGGUGCAUCAUCGACCGAUCCUGAUGUCUUCAGAUGGAUUUGAGUAAGAGCAUAGCUGUUGGGACCCGAAAGAUGGUGAACUAUGCCUGAAUAGGGUGAAGCCAGAGGAAACUCUGGUGGAGGCUCGCAGCGGUUCUGACGUGCAAAUCGAUCGUCAAAUUUGGGUAUAGGGGCGAAAGACUAAUCGAACCAUCUAGUAGCUGGUCCGCGAAAUAUUUCUCU
rnacentral:rRNA from 1 species